rnacentral:rRNA from 1 species
GUAAGGAAUAUUGGACAAUGGACGCAAGUCUGAUCCAGCCAUGCCGCGUGAAGGAUUAAGGUCCUCUGGAUUGUAAACUUCUUUUAUAAGGGACGAAAAAAGGCUUUUCUAAGUCGUCUGACGGUACCUUAUGAAUAAGCACCGGCUAACUCCGUGCCAGCAGCCGCGGUAAUACGGAGGGUGCAAGCGUUAUCCGGAUUCACUGGGUUUAAAGGGUGCGUAGGCGGGCAGGUAAGUCAGUGGUGAAAUCCUAGAGCUUAACUCUAGAACUGCCAUUGAUACUAUCUGUCUUGAAUAUUGUGGAGGUAAGCGGAAUAUGUCAUGUAGCGGUGAAAUGCUUGGAUAUGACAUAGAACACCUAUUGCGAAGGCAGCUUACUACGCAUAUAUUGACGCUGAGGCACGAAAGCGUGGGGAUCAAACAGGAUUAGAAACCCUAGUAGUCC